ensembl:snRNA U6 U6 spliceosomal RNA
GUACUAGAUUUGGCAGCAAACACACUAAAAUUGGAAUGAUUCAGUGAAGAUUAGCAUGGCUCUAUGCCAGGAUGAAAUGCAAAUAAAAAUUCCUAUGCAUAUAACU